rnacentral:miRNA from 1 species
CUAUCCUGGAAUGCAGCAAUGA